GACGAACGCUGGCGGCGUGCCUAAUACAUGCAAGUAGAACGCUGAAGGAGGAGCUUGCUUCUCUGGAUGAGUUGCGAACGGGUGAGUAACGCGUAGGUAACCUGCCUGGUAGCGGGGGAUAACUAUUGGAAACGAUAGCUAAUACCGCAUAAUAGUAGAUGUUGCAUGACAUUUGCUUAAAAGGUGCAAUUGCAUCACUACCAGAUGGACCUGCGUUGUAUUAGCUAGUUGGUGGGGUAACGGCUCACCAAGGCGACGAUACAUAGCCGACCUGAGAGGGUGAUCGGCCACACUGGGACUGAGACACGGCCCAGACUCCUACGGGAGGCAGCAGUAGGGAAUCUUCGGCAAUGGACGGAAGUCUGACCGAGCAACGCCGCGUGAGUGAAGAAGGUUUUCGGAUCGUAAAGCUCUGUUGUAAGAGAAGAACGAGUGUGAGAGUGGAAAGUUCACGCUGUGACGGUAGCUUACCAGAAAGGGACGGCUAACUACGUA
rnacentral:rRNA from 1 species